rnacentral:rRNA from 1 species
CGUAGUGGCGCAUGGGUGCGUAACGCGUGGGAAUCUGCCCUUGGGUUCGGGAUAACAGUUGGAAACGACUGCUAAUACCGAAUGAUGUCUUCGGACCAAAGAUUUAUCGCCCAGGGAUGAGCCCGCGUAAGAUUAGCUAGUUGGUGGGGUAAAGGCCUACCAAGGCAACGAUCUUUAGCUGGUCUGAGAGGAUGAUCAGCCACACUGGGACUGAGACACGGCCCAG